CCUACGGGAGGCAGCAGUAGGGAAUUUUCCACAAUGGGCGAAAGCCUGAUGGAGCAAUACCGCGUGCAGGAUGAAGGCCUUCGGGUCGUAAACUGCUUUUAUGUGCGAAGAAUUUGACGGUAACACAUGAAUAAGGAUCGGCUAACUACGUGCCAGCAGCCGCGGUCAUACGUAGGAUCCAAGCGUUAUCCGGAAUUACUGGGCGUAAAGAGUUGCGUAGGUGGCAUUAUAAGUGGAGCGUGAAAGCGUGCGGCUCAACCGCAUUAUUGCGUUCCAAACUGUGAAGCUUGAGUAUGGGAGAGGUAGAUGGAAUUUCUAGUGUAGGAGUGAAAUCCGUAGAUAUUAGAAGGAACACCGAUGGCGUAGGCAGUCUACUGGCCCAUUACUGACACUAAGGCACGAAAGCGUGGGGAGCAAACGGGAUUAGAUACCCCGGUAGUCCACGCUGUAAACUAUGGAUGCUAGCUGUGACACACAUCGACCUGUGUCGUAGACGAGUAACGUACGUAAGUACGAUCCGCCGUCGGGAGGUACGGUCGGCGAGAAGUUAAACUACGUUAAAGAAGUAGUUAGGCGUGAGACGNGCGACGGACGACGACGAGGGAGGAGG
rnacentral:rRNA from 1 species